AACUCUUGAACAAAUAAAAUCAAAAGAAAUAAUAGAGGGUAAAGAGUUAGAUAAAUCUUUAGCUUCCAUUAACUCCAUGACUUGAGUUUCUUCACUCUCCAUUGUUGCCUCCAUGGAUUGUCUUUCCUCAAUUUCCAUUGAAAUCUCUAAGAAAUGAUAAUUUUCAUUCCCUAUGACACAUUCUUAAGCUCUUCGUCUUCAAUCAUAGUAGAAGGUAACUUGAUCAAAGUUUCUAGUUCAGAGUCUUCGAGAUUAGACUCUUCCACUUUAAGUUGCAUGUUUGAAUCCCAAAGCUUCCUUUGUUCUUCACUUUUUCCUUUUUCCACCAAUAAGGCCUUUGAUUGGAACUUAUUGAGAAUUACGUACUUGAGAGUGUGAAUAUCAAACUAGCAAGCUACAUAUUGAACUGGGCUCAAAAUUGGGAUCCUCAUCACCGAAAUGGCCUAAGCCAUUUUGGUUU
rnacentral:misc_RNA from 1 species